rnacentral:misc_RNA from 1 species
GAUGAAGAACGUAGCGAAAUGCGCUAAGUAGUGUGAAUUGCAGAAUUCAGUGAAUCAUCGAAUCUUUGAACGCACAUUGCGCCCUUUGGUAUUCCAAAGGGCAUGCCUGUUCGAGCGUCAUUUGUACCCUCAAGCUUUGCUUGGUGUUGGGCGUCUUGUCUCUAGCUUUGCUGGAGACUCGCCUUAAAGUAAUUGGCAGCCGGCCUACUGGUUUCGGAGCGCAGCACAAGUCGCACUCUCUAUCAGCAAAGGUCUAGCAUCCAUUAAGCCUUUUUUUCAACUUUUGACCUCGGAUCAGGUAGGGAUACCCGCUGAACUUAAGCAUAUCAAUAAGCGGAGGA